rnacentral:rRNA from 1 species
GACGAACGCUGGCGGCGUGCUUAACACAUGCAAGUCGAACGAUGAAGCACCAGCUUGCUGGUGUGGAUUAGUGGCGAACGGGUGAGUAACACGUGAGUAACCUGCCCCUCACUCUGGGAUAAGCCUGGGAAACUGGGUCUAAUACUGGAUACGACCGAUCUCCGCAUGGAGUGUUGGUGGAAAGUUUUUGUGGUGGGGGAUGGACUCGCGGCCUAUCAGCUUGUUGGGGGGGUAAUGGCCUACCAAGGCGACGACGGGUAGCCGGCCUGAGCGGGCGACCGGCCACACUGGGACUGAGACACGGCCCAGACUACUGCGGGAGGCAGCAGUGGGGAAUAUUGCACAAUGGGCGAAAGCCUGAUGCAGCGACGCCGCGUGGGGGAUGACGGCCUUCGGGUUGUAAACCUCUUUCACCAGGGACGAAGCUAACGUGACGGUACCUGGAGAAGAAGCACCGGCUAACUACGUG